rnacentral:rRNA from 1 species
AGAUUGAACGCUGGCGGCAGGCCUAACACAUGCAAGUCGAGCGGCAGCACGGGUACUUGUACCUGGUGGCGAGCGGCGGACGGGUGAGUAAUGCCUAGGAAUCUGCCUGGUGGUGGGGGGAUAACGCUCGGAAACGGACGCUAAUACCGCAUACGUCCUACGGGAGAAAGCAGGGGACCUUCGGGCCUUGCGCUAUCAGAUGAGCCUAGGUCGGAUUAGCUAGUUGGUGGGGUAAUGGCUCACCGAAGGCGACGAUCCGUAACUGGUCUGAGAGGAUGAUCAGUCACACUGGAACUGAGACACGGUCCAGACUCCUACGGGAGGCAGCAGUGGGGAAUAGUUGGACUAAGUGGGACGAAAGCCUGAUCCAGCCAGUGCCGCGUGUGCGAAGAGGUCUU